rnacentral:tRNA from 1 species
UUGUAUUAAAGUCAAAAUAGAGACAAAUUAUUGUUAAUAAUUUUAAUGGGUACCACCUUAUACA